CUUAAAUUCCCACACUCUUCACACAUAAAGCUUUUCAGCAAGCUAAAAUGCUUUAGCGGUCUGGAGUGUCCCUUAAAGCCCAGAUAGCGAAGAAUGAAGGGUCCAGGGUAGUUGACAUUCCUGAUAAGGAAGAUCACUUUUGUUUAAUGUGUGUUUGUGCAUAGUGCUUACAGCACAGUCAACUUUCAUGGAGAGGACCAAACCAAAGGCCAUACGUGCACAGACUCCAGCUCUGCUGAUCAUUGCCUGUAGUACAG